rnacentral:rRNA from 1 species
ACGGGAGGCAGCAGUGGGGAAUAUUGGGCAAUGGGCGCAAGCCUGACCCAGCAACGCCGCGUGAAGGAAGAAGGCUUUCGGGUUGUAAACUUCUUUUGUCAGGGAAGAGUAGAAGACUGUACCUGGCGAAUAAGCCACGGCUAACUACGUGCCAGCAGCCGCGGUAAUACGUAGGUGGCGAGCGUUAUCCGGAUUUACUGGGUGUAAAGGGCGCGUAGGCGGGGAUGCAAGUCAGAUGUGAAAUCUAUGGGCUUAACCCAUAAACUGCAUUUGAAACUGUAUUUCUUGAGUGCUGGAGAGGUAGAUGGAAUUCCUUGUGUAGCGGUGAAAUGCGUAGAUAUAAGGAAGAACACCAGUGGCGAAGGCGAUCUACUGGACAGUAACUGACGCUGAGGCGCGAAAGCGUGGGGAGCAAACAGGAUUAGAUACCCUGGUA